UACGGGGGGGGCAAGCGUUGUUCGGAAUUACUGGGCGUAAAGGGCUCGUAGGCGGCCAACUAAGUCAGACGUGAAAUCCCUCGGCUUAACCGGGGAACUGCAUCUGAUACUGGAUGGCUUGAGAUUGGGAGAGGGAUGCGGAAUUCCAGGUGUAGCGGUGAAAUGCGUAGAUAUCUGGAGGAAUACCGGUGGCGAAGGCGGCAUCCUGGACCAACACUGACGCUGAGGAGCGAAAGCCAGGGGAGCAAACGGG
rnacentral:rRNA from 1 species